GCUUACAGCCAUACCACCCUGAGCACACCCGAUCUCAUCUGAUCGUGGAAGCUAAGUAGGGUCAGGCCUGGUUACUACUUGGACAGCAUCAUACUUUUCCCAAGUUGUAAUAC
rnacentral:rRNA from 1 species